rnacentral:rRNA from 1 species
GAUGAACGCUGGCGGCGUGCCUAAUACAUGCAAGUCGAGCGAACGGACGAGAAGCUUGCUUUUCUGAUGUUAGCGGCGGACGGGUGGGUAACACGUGGAUAACCUACCUAUAAGACUGGGAUAACUUCGGGAAACCGGAGUUAAUACCGGAUAAUAUUUUUAACCGCAUGGUUCAAAAGUGAAAGACGUUCUUGCUGUCACUUAUAGAUGGAUCCGCGCUGCAUUAGCUAGUUGGUAAGGUAACGGCUUACCAAGGCAACGAUGCAUAGCCGACCUGAGAGGGUGAUGAGCCACACUGGAACUGAGACACGAUCCAGAAACCUAGAGGAGGCAGAAGUAGGGAAGCUAGCGAGAAGGGGGAAAGCCUGACGGAGCAAAGCCGCGUGAGUGAUGAAGGUCUUCGGAUCGUAAAACUCUGUUAUUAGGGAAGAACAUAUGCGUAAGUAACUAUGCAAAUCUUGACGGUACCUAAUCAGAAAGAAACGGCUAACUACGUG